GACGGCCUGGCCUUCCCCACGUGGGUCGCGGGCUGAGCGGUCCCAGGGGCGACCCAGCGGCUUGUCUGGGGGAGGGAGGGGGGCUCCGCGUCCGACCCCCGCUCCUACCCGGCAUGAACCGCUACCUCCUGCCGCUCUCCGUGCUGGGCACGGUGGCGGGUGGCGCCGUGCUGCUCCGAGACUAUGUUGCCGGAGGGUCCUGUCCCAGCAAGGCCACCAUUCUCGGGAAGACCGUCAUUGUGACCGGCGCCAACACGGGCAUCGGGAAGCAGACCGCCUUGGAGCUGGCCAAAAGAGGAGGCAACAUCAUUCUGGCCUGUCGGGACAUGGAGAAGUGCGAAGCAGCAGCAAGGGACAUUCGCAGGGAGACCCUUAAUCACCACGUCAGCGCCCGGCACCUGGACUUGGCCUCCCUCAAGUCCAUCCGAGAGUUCGCGGCGAAGAUCACCGAAGAGAAAGAGCGCGUGCACAUCCUGAUCAACAACGCGGCUGUGAUGCGGUGCCCCCACUGGACCACCGAGGACGGCUUCGAGAUGCAGUUUGGCGUUAACCACCUGGGUCACUUUCUCUUGACGAACUUGCUGCUGGACACACUGAAAGCCUCGGCCCCUUCGCGGAUCGUCAACCUCUCGUCCUUGGCCCACGUCGCAGGUCACGUGGACUUUGAUGACUUGAACUGGGAGAAGAGGACGUACGACACUAAAGCGGCUUAUUGCCAGAGCAAGCUGGCCGUCGUCCUGUUUACCAAGGAGCUGAGCCGGCGGCUGCAGGGCACGGGUGUGACUGUCAACGCUCUGCACCCCGGCGUGGCCAGGACGGAGCUGGGCAGACACACGGGCAUGCACAGCUCUGCCUUCUCCAGCUUCACGCUCGGGCCCAUCUUCUGGCUGCUGGUCAAGAGCCCCCAGCUGGCAGCCCAGCCCAGCACGUACCUGGCCGUGGCAGAGGAACUGGAGGGCGUUUCUGGAAAGUACUUUGAUGGAUUCAAAGAGAAGCCUCCAGCCCCUGAAGCUGAGGAUGAGGAGGUAGCCCAGAGGCUUUGGGCUGAAAGUGCCCGCCUGGUGGGCUUGGAGCUGUCCGGGGGUUCCUCUCCUCAUUGAGGGGACAGCCCCUCCCAGAAUAACCUUUGGGAGCAGGUGUCAAAAGCACGCGGGAGGCUGAAUCACCUGGAUGCCGCAGCCAGACCAAGGCUGGCUGCUCUGUCUGCAGCACCCUCUAGGUGGCAGUGUUUGCCAAGGAAUUCUGGCUGCCACGCCUACGCCACCCUCUAGGUGGCAGUGUUGGCCGUGUGAGCCUCAAGACCAAGGCUGUUGUGCGCGCAGCGCCCCCUAGGUGGCAGUAUUGCUCAAGGACCAAUGGCCGCUACGUCCACACCAUCCGGUAGGGAUCCCUCGUGGCUCUUGCCUCCUCUCAGGCACAGUGGACCCGGCUGCAGGUGCACACCUGGCCCAUCGGCCGGCAGGGGCACGGGGCCAUCAGACGCCUGCCUUGUGCAUGUCACUGGGAGCUGCUGAGGGAGGAGUCCGCUCCCUCUGCUGUGGCCGCGGCAGGAGAGCCAAUGACGGCCACGGUGCCGAACUGUACACCCCUGGGAAAGCUGUCAGCCCGACAGGAUCAAGUUCAUGGUUCCCUGCGGGACCGUGCACACCCGCAGUCACCUCUCCGAGCCUCGGUUUCUCCCACUGUAGAAUGUGCAGAAUAACUUGACUACCUCCUAGGAUGGUAUGGUGGUGGGUGAGUUAUCGCCCGGCGUGGUGAGUGGCAGCUGUGUGUUCCUUGCUGGCACCAAAAAGCUCGGUAAUCAAGAUACGAAUACUUUAACAUUAAAAAAAUGUGACAUUUGAGGUACGUGGGGAGCCCAGGGAUGCCGUUCCAUGUCCACAGAACAGCGCAUGAUCGUGCCCCAGAUGCCAACGAUGCCGAGGGAGGGAGUGGAAAGGCAUUAAAGACGGCCCAAAGCCUUAGAAGUACAGUUAGUUUUCUUUCUGUUACCACAUCAGACCACAACAGCCGAAGGGUAUGUUUGGGAUGAACGGACUCCGGUUGGCACCUUCCAGCACGGACCCCAACGAUCCCCAUCUCCCCCUGUUCAUGUCCUUCUUACCCUCUGAGAGAGGGCUGGACCUAGCUACUCACUUCCAGCAAAAAGAAUGCAGCCAAGCUGACGGAACAGCCGGUUCUGUGGUCAGGCUACUGAUCGGCAUCUGUCGUGCUGGCCCUCGCCCUGCCUCGCCGAGAGGAGCUGUGAGCUGUCCUGUGCAGACAUCCCAGUGGCCGGGAUGGCCAGAGAGGAACUGAGGACUCAGUGCAGCAAUCCAGGAGCAGGCAGCAGGCACGUGGAGGUGAUUCGAGCAAGACCAACCAGACCCUCUCCCUGAAUCUGGAUCUCGAUGGGGCUGACACCAAGACCGAUAAGGGAACUUGGUGAGGCUAUUCGGCCUGCCCAGUGAUCCGGGACCACCUCUCUCCUUCACAACAGCUCAAGAGCAACAAUUCCAUCUGCCCCCUCGAUGCCCCUUUGCCACGUAAAGUAACAGGUUCUCGGGAUUUGGGGCAGCCACCGUUCUCCCUGGCGCCCCAUCCUCUCCAAAACCCGCUUCCUCGGCUUUUCCCAGGACCAUGACCUUCCCUGACACUUCCCAUCAAGUCCUCCUGUUUCUAUUAAAGCAAAAUUGGCAUCGGUUGGAAGAGUGUGAGGCUCCUGAUCUUGGGGCUGUGAAUUUGAGCUCCACUUUGGGCGUAGAGUUGACUUAAAACCAACCGGCCAACCAGCCAAUGAACCCUGGAGUGCCUUAGCAAGAAGAGUUGGAAUCCAGUCUGAUGCAGAAGCCCACAUUCGUGGCAGGGGGCCACAGGCCUAAAUGGAAAGAGCGUGAAGGCCAGCCCACUGGGGUGGCCGCUCCCACAAGAACCUAGCUCUUAUGGAGACAAGUCCAACUCGGCCCGGGGUUGAUUCUAGCCACAAACCCUCACAAGCAACAUCCGCUUCCUUUCGGGAACUGAGAAGCCACAAGGACCGCAGGCGUUGACUCACAAAUAACGUAACCCCCGCUACUUUACUGAAAGCCUUGAGGUGAUUCAUAACUCUAAACAUAGCCCCCAGAUAGAUGAAAGAUGAUCAAAACUGGCCUAGAAAAACUUCAAACCCACACAAGUCCACAGAGAGGAUGGUGGCAACAUAAUAAGCAGACUGAAGAACGAAUCAUGAGGGUAAUGCUUUGGGGAUGUUUUUUUGUUUUGUUGUUUUUUUAAAAUUUAAUUUAUUUAUUUUUUUAAUUUU